rnacentral:rRNA from 1 species
AGCGAAAGCGAGUCUGAAUAGGGCGAAUAAGUACGUCGCAUGACGACCCGAAACCAGGUGAUCUAUCCAUGAGCAGGUUGAAGGUAAGGUAACACUUACUGGAGGACCGAACCCGUGAAUGUUGAAAAUUCUGGGAUGACUUGUGGAUAGGGGUGAAAGGCCAAUCAAACCUGGACAUAGCUGGUUCUCCGCGAAAACUAUUUAGGUAGUGCGUUCGAUGUAUUCCUUGGGGGGUAGAGCACUGGAUGGAUGCGGGCUGCGCGAGUGGUACCAAUUCUAACCAAACUCCGAAUACCCAAGAGAACUAUCGGGCAGACACACGGCGGGUGCUAACGUCCGUCGUGAAAAGGGAAACAACCCUAACCAUCAUCUAAGGCCCCCAAGUUCUGGCUAAGUGGGAAACGAUGUGGGAUUGCUUUGACAACCAGGAUGUUGGCUUAGAAGCAGCCAUCAUUUAAAGAAAGCGUAACAGCUCACUGGUCAAGCGAUCCUGCGCGGAAAAAUGUAAC